CAGCUCCUCUGAUGUAAAUGCAACUGAGACCCGUGCUGUUCUCAUAGUCAAACUGAAUGAGGAAUGCAGAGAACUGAAUGCAUAAAGUCUGCCUCUGUUGAAUGGCAGAUGACAUUAUCUUCACCUCAGUACUUCAUCACUUUUGGCUGAUGAACAGUGACUGUCAGUAUAUGACAUAGCAAUGCCCUCUGUGGCACCCUGCUGCACAGGGCUGGAUUUAGUGUAAGCAAGUUAGCCAAGGCAAUGAGAUCCAUGCAUUGCCAUCUGUGGAGCUCAGGCUGGUUUCUAGUCCUUCAGUGGUUCUCCACCCUCCUCACUCCAUAUAGUUCAGUGCAGUUUAAAGAGAAUGGAACAGGUUGGUCUUUACCAGGUUAUGCUUGAGCUGACUGCUUCAAGAGGAGCAAGCACAUGAGAGAGACAGGAAAUGUAGCACCUGCUACAAUACCCAGAAAAAGAAGCCACAUUUUUUGUGAGCCUGAUAGUCUCCUGCACCUUAUGAGAAAAGCUACAUCACACUGCUAUGAAAAAAAAUGGCUUAGAGAGGUGUGGAACCAUCCUACACAUGAAGAAUAUUUUUUACAUCUUCACUGGGGCCAGCACUCUGUCUGGCAGUGCCCAUAGUGAAUACCUAGCAUGAGCUGGACAUGUGGAGCAGAGCCUGAUCUGUCUGAAGCUCAGAGUACUCAUGCCUACCUCCCUACUUUGUUGCAGUAUUGCUAUGGCAACCAGCUUCUAUAAAAAGAU
rnacentral:lncRNA from 1 species